AUGGAAGGCACGGUGUGCCCAAACCAAGGUGAUUCCGUCUCCGGCGCCGGCCUCUCACUCCCCCACGCGCACCUCCAUCUCGCCCAGUUCAGAACUGGUGACCCCCUCCCUUGCAAGUCUAAAAGUUUGUGUUUCCUUUUGGCUGUUAGCAUGCAAUUAGCUCCUUCAGUCGUGAAAGAGAAGUUUUCAAAUUGGCAAGGAUUCCUCCUGGUCCAACUAGCUAAGAUGGUAGAAAAGGGAACAAAGAGCAAACAGGAGGUCACCUACUCAUGCAGCAGUCAUGCUUCGCCAUCAUUCUACUGGACGAAGACCCCGAAGUACACCGCUGGAACAAGACAACUGACGCCAUGGAAACAACAUCAAUAA
rnacentral:rRNA from 1 species